rnacentral:rRNA from 1 species
CCUGGCAGCUACCUGCAGUCGAGCGGUAAGAGGUGCUUGCACCUCUUGAGAGCGGCGGACGGGUGAGUAAUACCUAGGAAUCUGCCUGGUAGUGGGGGAUAACGUUCGGAAACGGACGCUAAUACCGCAUACGUCCUACGGGAGAAAGCAGGGGACCUUCGGGCCUUGCGCUAUCAGAUGAGCCUAGGUCGGAUUAGCUAGUUGGUGAGGUAAUGGCUCACCAAGGCUACGAUCCGUAACUGGUCUGAGAGGAUGAUCAGUCACACUGGAACUGAGACACGGUCCAGACUCCUACGGGAGGCAGCAGUGGGGAAUAUUGGACAAUGGGCGAAAGCCUGAUCCAGCCAUGCCGCGUGUGUGAAGAAGGUCUUCGGAUUGUAAAGCACUUUAAGUUGGGAGGAAGGGCAUUAACCUAAUACGUUAGUGCUUUGACGUUACCGACAGAAUAAGCACCGGCUAACUCUGUGCCAGCAGCCGCGGUAAUACAGAGGGUGCAAGCGUUAAUCGGAAUUACUGGGCGUAAAGCGCGCGUAGGUGGUUUGUUAAGUUGAAUGUGAAAUCCCCGGGCUCAACCUGGGAACUGCAUCCAAAACUGGCAAGCUAGAGUAUGGUAGAGGGUAGUGGAAUUUCCUGUGUAGCGGUGAAAUGCGUAGAUAUAGGAAGGAACACCAGUGGCGAAGGCGACUACCUGGACUGAUACUGACACUGAGGUGCGAAAGCGUGGGGAGCAAACAGGAUUAGAUACCCUGGUAGUCCACGCCGUANACGAUGUCAACUAGCCGUUGGGAACCUUGAGUUCUUAGUGGCGCAGCUAACGCAUUAAGUUGACCGCCUGGGGAGUACGGCCGNCAGGUUAAAACUCAAAUGAAUUGACGGGGGCCCCGCACAGCGGUGGAGCAUGUGGUUUAAUCGAAGNCACGCGAAGAACCUUACAGGGCCUGACAUCAAUGAACUUUCAGAGAUGGAUUGGUGCCUCGGGAACAUGAGACAGUGCUGCAUGGCUGUCGUCACUCGGUCGUGAGAUGUGGGUAAGUCCGUACGAGCGCAACCUUUUGUCUAGUACGCACGUAUGGUGGGCACUCUAGGAACUGCGGUGACAACCGGAGGAGGUGGGAUGAGUCAGUCUCAUGGCCUACGGCUGGCUACCCGUGCUAAUGGCGGACAAGGGUGCCAGCCGCAGUGGACUAUCCCAUAACCGAUGAUUCCGAUCANCUGAACUCCCGGCGUAUCGAAACCUUUAUCGGACAAAGUCCGGGAAAUUCCGGGCUUUAACCCCCUCACAGGGAGGGGUCCAAAAAUUUUACUCGAGGUCAUGUAGG